AGAGUUUGAUCCUGGCUCAGAUUGAACGCUGGCGGUAUGCUUUACACACGCAAGUCGAACGGAUUUGGGGGCUUGCUCCCAAGUUAGUGGCGAACGGGUGAGUAAUAUAUCGGAACAUAUCCGGAAGUGGGGGAUAACGUAGCGAAAGUUACGCUAAUACCGCAUAUGCCCUGAGGGGGAAAGGGGGGGAUCGCAAGACCUCUCGCUUUCGGAGUGGCCGAUAUCGGAUUAGCUAGAUGGUGAGGUAAAGGCUCACCAUGGCGACGAUCCGUAGCUGGUCUGAGAGACGACC
rnacentral:rRNA from 1 species